GACGAACGCUGGCGGCGUGCUUAACACAUGCAAGUCGAACGGUAAGGCCCUUCGGGGUACACGAGUGGCGAACGGGUGAGUAACACGUGGGUGAUCUGCCCUGCACUUCGGGAUAAGCCUGGGAAACUGGGUCUAAUACCGGAUAGGACCACUGCCUGCAUGGGUGGUGGUGGAAAGCUUUUGCGGUGUGGGAUGGGCCCGCGGCCUAUCAGCUUGUUGGUGGGGUGAUGGCCUACCAAGGCGACGACGGGUAGCCGGCCUGAGAGGGUGACCGGCCAGAUAGGGACUGAGCGACAGCCCAGACUCCUACGGGAGGAAGCAGUGGGGAAUAUUGCACAAUGGGCGCAAGCCUGAUGCAGCGACGCCGCGUGAGGGAUGACGGCCUUCGGGUUGUAAACCUCUUUCAGCACCGACGAAGCGCAAGUGACGGUAGGUGCAGAAGAAGGACCGGCCAACUACGUGCCAGCCGCCGCGGUAA
rnacentral:rRNA from 1 species